UGGUCACCAUCUUUGUCCUCUAUCAGGGAUUUAACUGGGGACUUCCAAAGCUAAAAACAAGCGCCUCCUCCACUUGAGUUGUCUCCAGUCUAGAUGAGAGAUCUAGAAGAUCCACGUGCUUUGUAGACCAGAGCACAGUGGGUGCCUCCUGUGGAUUUCCCAGUGUGCUGCACAGAUAUCACAGCACAAUGAGAGAACAGAAAAUUAAUUUCAUCCUUCUAGUAUUCCUAGAUCAGCAAUAUGUAACGUUUUCUUCAGAAAAUGUAGAACUCUCAGGUACUGUAACUAUAGUUUAAAAAAAAAUCCUCAGAGGAAUACAAUGGGGAAGCAUAA
rnacentral:lncRNA from 1 species